UACGUAGGGGGCAAGCGUUGUCCGGAUUUAUUGGGCGUAAGAGCGUGUAGGCGGCCUGACAGUGUGCUGUGAAAACUCGAGGCUCAACCUCGAGAUGUCGGCGGAAACCGUCUGGCUAGAGUCCGGAAGAGGAGAGUGGAAUUCCUGGUGUAGCGGUGAAAUGCGCAGAUAUCAGGAGGAACACCGGUGGCGAAGGCGGGUCUCUGGGCCAUAACUGACGCUGAGGAGCGAAAGCGUGGGGAGCGAACAGG
rnacentral:rRNA from 1 species